CCAGACUCCUACGGGAGGCAGCAGUGAGGAAUAUUGGUCAAUGGGCGCAAGCCUGAACCAGCCAAGUAGCGUGCAGGAAGACGGCCCUAUGGGUUGUAAACUGCUUUUGUAUGGGGAUAAAGUCAGUCACGUGUGAUUGUUUGCAGGUACCAUACGAAUAAGGACCGGCUAAUUCCGUGCCAGCAGCCGCGGUAAUACGGAAGGUCCGGGCGUUAUCCGGAUUUAUUGGGUUUAAAGGGAGCGUAGGCUGGAGAUUAAGUGUGUUGUGAAAUGUAGACGCUCAACGUCUGACUUGCAGCGCAUACUGGUUUCCUUGAGUACGCACAACGUUGGCGGAAUUCGUCGUGUAGCGGUGAAAUGCUUAGAUAUGACGAAGAACUCCGAUUGCGAAGGCAGCUGACGGGAGCGCAACUGACGCUGAAGCUCGAAGGUGCGGGUAUCGAACAGGAUUAGAUACCCUGGUAGUCCGCACAGUAAACGAUGGAUGCCCGCUGUUAGCGCCUGGCGUUAGCGGCUAAGCGAAAGCAUUAAGCAUCCCACCUGGGGAGUACGCCGGCAACGGUGAAACUCAAAGGAAUUGACGGGGGCCCGCACAAG
rnacentral:rRNA from 1 species